GAUCUCUUAGCGCACAAAGUCAGGCUAUCACUACAAGGGGAGUCCGACCCUGGCUGUAGAAAAACUACUUGGUGCGGAACUCGAGUCUCUUCCGCCCACCGUGGGGGACCGCACCGGUCAGGUCCAGCGAGGAGCCCCGCCGCGAGUUUGGGGGCGCAGCCGGGCCCGGCGGGGGCGGCGAGCGCGCGUCCCCCCGCCCGCUCAGGCAGCGUCGAGGCGCGAGCAGCUCAGCCACCCUUGCAGAGGGAGCUCUCGACAGCUCUGGGGUCCCUCUGCUCGCAGCCGCAGCAGCGCCGCCUGCGCCACUCGGCGGAGACGGAGACCAGCGGCGGCGGUGCGCGGACUGGGAGCGACCGCCAAGCAGCCGAGCGGCAGGGGUAUGCUCGCAAAGCGGCCGGGAAACAGGGAUAUGUCCUAUUUCAUGGAAUUGACUCCAAAGACCAAGAAAUGGAGAGCCAAACCAAAAGGAGAGGAUGCUUCAGGCUGGACAGAAACAAGCUGAGAGCAAAAGCUUUGAAAACAGGAGGAAGAAGAGUGGGAGACAGGAGAAAAGCCCUCCAGGAGCUCCUUGCUCUCAUCUCAGCCACCUUGGUAGGAAGCUGCUGCUGCUAAGGGAAGACCCAGAAGCCUGGCCGUUCGCUGACGGGGUUCUGCUGCCCCCUUCUGGCCAGAAACUCCAGUCUUCCCCACGGUCGUUGCAGCCGGCUUCAUCUGCCUCCAGGCCGCCUGGAGCUAGCUGCUAGGGAGCCAUUACCAGGACUGGCACCUCUGGGCUUUCUCUGGGCCAGCUCCACAGUUUGGCUGCAGCCUGGGCCCACAGCUUCCAGGCCCAGGGCACCCCCGGUCUCCAGACUGGGCCUCGUCAGCAACACCCAACCACCGUCUUCCUCUGCUCUCUUUCCCAACCCCAGUUCCAGCCUCUGGGCUCUCUUCUGCCUGAAUUUCCAGGGCCAAAGCACAUGCCAUUGUCACAGCUGGGGGUGCAGAUACACUAGUGUCAGGAAGCGCCAUAGCCAGAGGGUGCUGGAGCAGAGGUCAGGAAGGCACCAGGCCAGGCCAUGUAGGAAAGGCAUUUUGCUUUUUUAUUUUCUGUAAAACUCUGUAAAUAAAAUAUAAAACCAAGGGAUGUGGUAGGACACUGAUUUGUGGCAAGUGUGCUGAGCCGAGGCUGGGAGGCACUUGACUGCAGGCACUGACUGCCAACCCAAGGGCAACGGAAGAAUAUAUUAGAUUUUCACUGAUGGGAAUCUGUGGGCGAGAGGUGUCUGGAGCCAGCCCUCACCCUCCCUGCCAGUGCCUGAUAAGCCCUGAAAGUGAGGGGGAAGGGGCACUG
rnacentral:lncRNA from 1 species